GAUGAACGCUGGCGGCGUGCCUAAUACAUGCAAGUCGAGCGAAUGGAUUAAGAGCUUGCUCUUAUGAAGUUAGCGGCGGACGGGUGAGUAACACGUGGGUAACCUGCCCAUAAGACUAGGAUAACUCCAGGAAACCGGGGCUAAUACCGGAUAACAUUUUGAACCGCAUGGUUCGAAAUUGAAAGGCGGCUUCGGCUGUCACUUAUGGAUGGACCCGCGUCGCAUUAGCAAGUUGGUGAGGUAACGGCUCACCAAGGCAACGAUGCGUAGCCGACCUGAGAGGGUGAUCGGCCACACUGGGACUGAGACACGGCCCAGACUCCUACGGGAGGCAGCAGUAGGGAAUCUUCCGCAAUGGACGAAAGUCUGACGGAGCAACGCCGCGUGAGUGAUGAAGGCUUUCGGGUCGUAAAACUCUGUUGUUAGGGAAGAACAAGUGCUAGUUGAAUAAGCUGGCACCUUGACGGUACCUAACCAGAAAGCCACGGCUAACUACGUGCCAGCAGCCGCCGUAA
rnacentral:rRNA from 1 species